GGGGAUUGCUAUGAGGAUACCAAGCUCCCUCUUCUGAUUAAGGUUGAGGAAACUUGCCGGCAGAAUCGAACCUAAAAAUUAUCAGCCACCACUGAGUAA